rnacentral:lncRNA from 1 species
GAUCACCACGGUGACUUACAAACAACUCACUGUGCUUUGGUAUCGGACUAUCUAAAUUUUUAAUUUAGUGAUGAAAAAUUUUUGGACACAGUCAAGUACUUGAGAAGUCAGUGUGUGAGUCAAGAUGGAAUUAUCCUCUCCAAAUAAGUAGGAGUUAAUGUAUCAGUGUGUUUUAAUUCAAUAAAAUCUCAAUUGGGAUAAUCUAUGUGA